rnacentral:rRNA from 1 species
AUAAUGGGUCAGCGACUUAUAUUCUGUAGCAAGGUUAACCGAAUAGGGGAGCCGAAGGGAAACCGAGUCUUAACUGGGCGUUAAGUUGCAGGGUAUAGACCCGAAACCCGGUGAUCUAGCCAUGGGCAGGUUGAAGGUUGGGUAACACUAACUGGAGGACCGAACCGACUAAUGUUGAAAAAUUAGCGGAUGACUUGUGGCUGGGGGUGAAAGGCCAAUCAAACCGGGAGAUAGCUGGUUCUCCCCGAAAGCUAUUUAGGUAGCGCCUCGUGAAUUCAUCUCCGGGGGUAGAGCACUGUUUCGGCAAGGGGGUCAUCCCGACUUACCAACCCGAUGCAAACUGCGAAUACCGGAGAAUGUUAUCACGGGAGACACACGGCGGGUGCUAACGUCCGUCGUGAAGAGGGAAACAACCCAGACCGCCAGCUAAGGUCCCAAAGUCAUGGUUAAGUGGGAAACGAUGUGGGAAGGCCCAGACAGCCAGGAUGUUGGCUUAGAAGCAGCCAUCAUUUAAAGAAAGCGUAAUAGCUCACUGGUCGAGUCGGCCUGCGCGGAAGAUGUAACGGGGCUAAACCAUGCACCGAAGCUGCGGCAGCGACGCUUAUGCGUUGUUGGGUAGGGGAGCGUUCUGUAAGCCUGCGAAGGUGUGCUGUGAGGCAUGCUGGAGGUAUCAGAAGUGCGAAUGCUGACAUAAGUAACGAUAAAGCGGGUGAAAAGCCCGCUCGCCGGAAGACCAAGGGUUCCUGUCCAACGUUAAUCGGGGCAGGGUGAGUCGACCCCUAAGGCGAGGCCGAAAGGCGUAGUCGAUGGGAAACAGGUUAAUAUUCCUGUACUUGGUGUUACUGCGAAGGGGGGACGGAGAAGGCUAUGUUGGCCGGGCGACGGUUGUCCCGGUUUAAGCGUGUAGGCUGGUUUUCCAGGCAA